GCCUCCGGAUCCCCGAAACAGGAAAAACCGGACAGGGGCGGGGGAACCACCACUGGGCGCCCCGAACGCCCUAGGGGUGAAGCCGGUCCGAGGACCGGCCGGGCUGCCUCUCAGCCCGAACCCGACAGCUCACUUCGCAGGCGCGGCAGGAGAGAGGAA
rnacentral:sRNA from 2 species